GGGAACACGAGUUGAGACGAAUUGCUCGAGUUGGGCGGAAGACAAAGCCAUCAUAGUGAACUGGUUAAUCUUUUAUGUGUUCUGACUAGGAAACUACCUGAAUCAAUUGCCAAGGUUGAAAUUAUAUAUAUGGUCUUAAAUUGAGACUCAAGUAUUUAGAUUAUGAACUUUCGGUCAGGAGUUGUAAGUAUUGGUUAUUAAUUUUCAUUAUAAUGGUUCAAACACACUAUGAACAUUUUAGGGAACUUGUGAUGUUUCAAUCUUUGCUGAUGUAUAUUUUGGAUUAAUGCAAACUUUUACUCGCAUUCUUCUAGGUAAAAGGAUUGCAUGCAUUUCAUGUUCUUAUUGACUAGUUCAUCUGCCAAAGGAAGUAGAUAUGCAUAAGGCAUUUAAUGGAAAUUGAGCUAGUUCAGGCUUCUUGCAGGUAUCCUUACACGUCCUUCUCCAGACCACAACAUGUCCGGUAAAUUCAAAGAGGGCUCUGUUAACGGUAUCAAGUUGACAAAUUGUCC
rnacentral:misc_RNA from 1 species